AGUGAACGCUGGCGGCAGGCCUAACACAUGCAAGUCGAACGGCAGCACGGCAGUAGCAAUACUGUGGGUGGCGAGUGGCGGACGGGUGAGGAAUACAUCGGGAUCUACCCUGUUGUGGGGGAUAACGUAGGGAAACUUACGCUAAUACCGCAUAAGAACUGAGGUUGAAAGCGGCGGACCGCAAGGCGUCGCGCGAUUGGAUGAACCGAUGUCCGAUUAGCUAGUUGGCGGGGUAAAGGCCCACCAAGGCGACGAUCGGUAGCUGGUCUGAGAGGACGACCAGCCACACUGGAACUGAGACACGGUCCAGACUCCUACGGGAGGCAGCAGUGGGGAAUAUUGGACAAUGGGCGCAAGCCUGAUCCAGCCAUGCCGCGUGGGGUGAAGAAGGCCUCGG
rnacentral:rRNA from 1 species